UACGGAGGAUGCAAGCGUUAUCCGGAAUUAUUGGGCGUAAAGCGUCCGCAGGUGGUGCUUCAAGUCUGCUGUUAAAGGCAGAAGCUUAACUUCUGUUAGGCAGUGGAAACUGAAGAACUAGAGGUCAGUAGGGGUAGCAGGAAUUCCCAGUGUAGCGGUGAAAUGCGUAGAGAUUGGGAAGAACAUCGGUGGCGAAAGCGUGCUACUGGGCUGAAUCUGACACUGAGGGACGAAAGCUAGGGGAGCAAAAGGG
rnacentral:rRNA from 1 species